rnacentral:piRNA from 1 species
UAAGUAUGCCAGCAUCUCUUGGAAGGAUGA